rnacentral:rRNA from 1 species
AACGUAGGAGCCUAGCGUUAUCCGAAUUUACUGGGCGUAAAGCGCGUGCAGGCGGCUUUGUAAGUGGAUUGUGAAAUCUCCCGGCUCAACUGGGAGGGGACGGUCCAGACUGCGAGGCUGGAGGCAGGGAGAGGGAGGUGGAAUUCCCGGUGUAGUGGUGAAAUGCGUAGAGAUCGGGAGGAACACCAGUGGCGAAAGCGGCCUCCUGGCCCUGACCUGACGCUGAGACGCGAAAGCUAGGGGAGCGAACGGGAUUAGAAACCCCCGUAGUCC